GCCCAUGUAGCACAACGGCUGUGCAGCUCAUUUGUAAUGAGAAGGUUGUCAGUUCAAAUCUGACCGUGGGCUCCA
rnacentral:tRNA from 1 species